UUCAUUCAGCUCACCAUCAGC
rnacentral:piRNA from 1 species